UACGGAGGGUGCAAGCGUUAUCCGGAUUUACUGGGUUUAAAGGGUGCGUAGGCGGGUUUCCAAGUCAGUGGUGAAAGCUCCGAGCUUAACUCGGAAAUUGCCAUUGAUACUGGAAGUCUUGAAUUCAGUUGAGGUCGGCGGAAUGUGUCGUGUAGUAGUGAAAUACUUAGAUAUGACACAGAACACCAAUUGCGAAGGCAGCUGGCUAACCUGACAUUGACGCUGAGGCACGAAAGCGUGGGAUCAAACAGG
rnacentral:rRNA from 1 species